CAAAAGUCGUGCACGCCGGAGCACGUCCUCUCUCUCACAUAAAAUCCAUCUCACCCUUUUGUGCACCACCGCGCGGGCACCCUUUGGGAUGCUUGCGUUUUCACACAAACCCCUUUUAAAAAAGUGUAGAAUGACCCCACUUUGCGAUGACACGCAAUCAAUACAACUUUCAACAACGGAUCUCUUGGCUCUCGCAUCGAUGAAGAACGCAGCGAAAUGCGAUACGUAAUGUGAAUUGCAGAAUUCAGUGAAUCAUCGAAUCUUUGAACGCACCUUGCGCCCCUUGGUAUUCCGAGGGGCACACCCGUUUGAGUGUCGUGAAAAUCUCAACCUUCUCGGUUUUCUUCUGGACACCGAAGGAGGCUUGGACUUUGGAGGCCUUUGCUGGUGUCUCUCUAGAGCCAGCUCCUCUUAAAUGAAUUAGCGGGGUCCUCUUUGCCGAUCCUUGACAUGUGAUAAGAUGUUUCCAUGACUCGGUUUCUGGCUCUGUUGCAUUUGGGACCUGCUUCUAACCGUCUCGACGAGACGAUGUUUGGGAGUGUCUCCCUUCUCGGGAGACUCUCUCGACCCCACGAACC
rnacentral:rRNA from 1 species